AUUGUCUAGAACUCAGAACGGAAGUCCGACUUCAGUUUAUUUAUAGGACUAGAUAUUUAGGCAUGGGUCCAUCAAGCCAGCACGAAUUUAUCUCCACGCCUGUCCAUGAGAAUGGUACACCAUAGCAACAACAUUAUAGCAUAAUAUAGCAACAACACGAGCAGAAAAUUUGAGUCUGAAUCUCUUGUUCAAAAUCCAUGUGGUCAAUCGAUCACUUAUUUCAGG
rnacentral:lncRNA from 1 species